GGGGAGAGCUCUCUACUACAUAUCAAAGGCCUUUACAACUACUGCCUCAAAGUCAGAGAAGAUAUGAUAUGUUGAUUCCAAAAAUGAAAAUGCAGCUUUGGAACCAAAGGUUGCCAAAGAGACAAUUGAUUUUAAGGACAUAAAGUGAAUUAAUCAUAUUAUUGCAUCCCUACAACGCAAGCUUGCGCCAGCCCCACCACCACCACCAUUUCCAGAAGGCUACAUUCCCCUCACGAACAAAGAAUCGAAAAAUGGCCCUGAGACCCAUCAAACGGGGGAGGCACAACCACCUCCCCUUGACCCCAUCAUUGAUCAAGGCACAACUAAAAGAAUGAAAUUAUGAAUAAUAGGUGUCGCAUCAUAAGUUAUAUGUCCAGAAGUAUAUAUGUAAAAAUCUGAAGUUAAGUUAAUCACUACAACUUUAAAUAUCCGCUAAUCCCUAGGCCUUUUUCAGUUGUGGUAAAGAUCUGAAGCUAAGCUAAGUUAAUCACUACAACUUUAUAUAUGUUGUGGUAGUUUUCACUUCAAUUGUUGUACAAGGACAAGAAGAAGAAAUAUAUGUUGUUGGACAAUGAAUUUAGUGUUUUAUAUUAUUUGUAAUUUUUAUUAGAGUAAAUGAUUCUUUGUAAAUA